UACGUAGGGUGCAAGCGUUAAUCGGAAUUACUGGGCGUAAAGCGUGCGCAGGCGGUUGUGCAAGACAGAUGUGAAAUCCCCGGGCUCAACCUGGGAAUUGCAUUUGUGACUGCACGGCUAGAGUGUGUCAGAGGGGGGUAGAAUUCCACGUGUAGCAGUGAAAUGCGUAGAGAUGUGGAGGAAUACCGAUGGCGAAGGCAGCCCCCUGGGAUAACACUGACGCUCAUG
rnacentral:rRNA from 1 species